rnacentral:rRNA from 1 species
CCUACGGGUGGCAGCAGUGAGGAAUAUUGGUCAAUGGACGAGAGUCUGAACCAGCCAAGUAGCGUGAAGGAUGACUGCCCUAUGGGUUGUAAACUUCUUUUAUAUGGGAAUAAAAUGUUCCACGUGUGGGAUUUUGUAUGUACCAUAUGAAUAAGGAUCGGCUAACUCCGUUCCAGCAGCCGCGGUAAUACGGAGGAUCCGAGCGUUAUCCGGAUUUAUUGGGUUUAAAGGGAGCGUAGGUGGAUUGUUAAGUCAGUUGUGAAAGUUUGCGGCUCAACCGUAAAAUUGCAGUUGAAACUGGCAGUCUUGAGUACAGUAGAGGUGGGCGGAAUUCGUGGUGUAGCGGUGAAAUGCUUAGAUAUCACGAAGAACUCCGAUUGCGAAGGCAGUUCACUGGACUGCAACUGACACUGAGGCUCGAAAGUGUGGGUAUCAAACAGGAUUAGACACCCUUGUAGUC